GUGGGGAAUAUUGCGCAAUGGGGGAAACCCUGACGCAGCAACGCCGCGUGAAGGAUGAAGGUUUUCGGAUUGUAAACUUCUUUUACCAGGGACGAAACAAAUGACGGUACCUGGUGAAUAAGCCACGGCUAACUACGUGCCAGCAGCCGCGGUAAUACGUAGGUGGCGAGCGUUAUCCGGAUUUAUUGGGUGUAAAGGGCGUGUAGGCGGGACAGCAAGUCAGAUGUGAAAACCAGAGGCUCAACCUCUGGCCUGCAUUUGAAACUGUUGUUCUUGAGUGUCGGAGAGGUAAUCGGAAUUCCGUGUGUAGCGGUGAAAUGCGUAGAUAUACGGAGGAACACCAGUGGCGAAGGCGGAUUACUGGACGAUAACUGACGCUGAGGCGCGAAAGCGUGGGGAGCAAACAGGAUUAGAAACCCUGGUAGUCC
rnacentral:rRNA from 1 species